AGCUGCAGUCGAGAUCUUUCGCAUGGGCGAAGCCUGACGAAGCGACGCUGCGUGAGCGAUGAAGGCCUUCGGGUCGUAAAGCUCUUUCGCGCAGAGAACAAAGAAUGCGUGGGUAAAUAACCUGAGGAACUUGAGGGUACUGCGUAAAGAAGCACCGGCUAACUCC
rnacentral:rRNA from 1 species